UAUAGCUCAAUGGGAGAGCGUCCGCUUUGAACGCAGAACUUCCCAGGUUCAAGCCCCGCCAUCUCAG